rnacentral:rRNA from 1 species
AUCCUGGCUCAGAUUGAACGCUGGCGGCAGGCCUAACACAUUGCAAGUCGAACGGUAACAGGAAGCAGCUUGCUGCUUUGCUGACGAGUGGCGGACGGGUGAGUAAUGUCUGGGAAACUGCCUGAUGGAGGGGGAUAACUACUGGAAACGGUAGCUAAUACCGCAUAACGUCGCAAGACCAAAGAGGGGGACCUUCGGGCCUCUUGCCAUCGGAUGUGCCCAGAUGGGAUUAGCUAGUAGGUGGGGUAACGGCUCACCUAGGCGACGAUCCCUAGCUGGUCUGAGAGGAUGACCAGCCACACUGGAACUGAGACACGGUCCAGACUCCUACGGGAGGCAGCAGUGGGGAAUAUUGCACAAUGGGCGCAAGCCUGAUGCAGCCAUGCCGCGUGUAUGAAGAAGGCCUUCGGGUUGUAAAGUACUUUCAGCGGGGAGGAAGGCGAUAAGGUUAAUAACCUUGUCGAUUGACGUUACCCGCAGAAGAAGCACCGGCUAACUCCGUGCCAGCAGCCGCGGUAAUACGGAGGGUGCAAGCGUUAAUCGGAAUUACUGGGCGUAAAGCGCACGCAGGCGGUCUGUCAAGUCGGAUGUGAAAUCCCCGGGCUCAACCUGGGAACUGCAUUCGAAACUGGCAGGCUAGAGUCUUGUAGAGGGGGGUAGAAUUCCAGGUGUAGCGGUGAAAUGCGUAGAGAUCUGUAGGAAUACCGGUGGCGAAGGCGGCCC